GACGAACGCUGGCGGCGUGCUUAACACAUGCAAGUCGAGCGAUAAGGCCCCUUCGGGGGUACACGAGCGGCGAACGGGUGAGUAACACGUGGGUGACCUGCCCUCAGCUCUGGGAUAAGCCUGGGAAACUGGGUCUAAUACCGGAUAUGACUCCAUGACGCAUGUCGUGGGGUGGAAAGCCUUGUGCGGCUGGGGAUGGGCCCGCGGCCUAUCAGCUUGUUGGUGGGGNGAUGGCCUACCAAGGCGACGACGGGUAGCCGGCCUGAGAGGGCGACCGGCCACACUGGGACUGAGACACGGCCCAGACUCCUACGGGAGGCAGCAGUGGGGAAUCUUGCGCAAUGGGCGAAAGCCUGACGCAGCGACGCCGCGUGAGGGAUGACGGCCUCGGUUGUAA
rnacentral:rRNA from 1 species